AUAGAGGGGGUGUUAGCCCCUCCUUACUGCUGUCAUUGAAGAAGAAAAAAGAGGAAAAUAAAAAAGAGCAGGAGGAAGAAAGGAAACCACAGCCAUACAGGCAGUUCUACAGGCAGUGCUACUCAGCUGAACUGUAUCUGCUGCCUGUUUAACAGUGGGGAGAAGACAUUAUUAGGCGGCGUGCUCCUCCCUCUCCACAGCAAGGCAGCCUUAUCUGUCAGCCAUUAGUUAAUCAAGGCUGGUAACGUAGAAGUAGAGCAGAAAACAGGCACAGCGCGUGGGGUCAAAGAACAACCUCUGAGAGCUGAGCUGAGCAGGAGGAGGGCAAGGACCUGGGAACCGACCAACCCCUACACUCUAAACUCUACUACCAGGCUAGGCUGCUGCCUCACUCUACUCAACACUGGAUCAGAGCGUGUCUUUGUCUAGGCAUGGCAGGCUGCAAUUGUAUGAUGACAUCCGCCCAUUCCAUCACAGAGGACAGGUCCUGUUUUGCAAGGAAGUUUCAAAGACAGAAGUCAAAACAACACAUGCUGUCGACGUGGGAAAAGCUGGUAAGAGCAGAACAUCGUGGGGCGGAGGAAUGUCAGAGUCAUAGAUCGUUCAUCCUCAAGGCCAAAAUAGCCACACAGGCCUGAUCAUCUCCAUGCAUAGGAAGAAACAUUACGCAACACCUCAUACUAGCACUAAUACAGUCCAGUCUAACCCUGGCCAACGUGGUCCAAAUCUGGCAAAAGAGAUAUCAUUAGACAAUUACUACACGAGUAAGUAGGCUUUAUUGACUGAAAUGAAUUGGUAUUAACUCGCAAAUAGAAUUUCUUCACAAAAGAUUUGGCACAAACCAAUGUCAUAAGUACAUUUAGAUACCGAAGGUAAAAAAUAGGGACAUUUCUUAUUGGCGUCACCAUGGAGUUUAUUGUAAGGGUUAUGAUGAUUGAAAAGGAUAUUGCAAAGUCUAAAUAAUUAUUGGUCUGUGUUAACAAAGUUGACAAAAUGUUCACUACAAGAGCUUAAGGCUGCUUGUGAUGGAAAAUGAAAGGAGUCGACUAAACUCAACUUUGUAGUUGGUGCCAAACUGUGCCUCUGCCAUGGCUAGAAACUCAAAUAAACAAUCCUAAAAGGGCAUAUUAAGUUUCCCCAACACUAUUCUCUUUU